UACGGGGGGGGCAAGCGUUGUUCGGAAUUACUGGGCGUAAAGGGCUCGUAGGCGGCCAACUAAGCCGGAUGUGAAAUCCCCAGGCUCAACUUGGGAACUGCAUCCGAUACUGGAUGGCUUGAAUCCGGGAGAGGGAUGCAGAAUUCCAGGUGUAGCGGUGAAAUGCGUAGAUAUCUGGAGGAAUACCGGUGGCGAAGGCGGCAUCCUGGACCGGCAUUGACGCUGAUGAGCGAAAGCUAGGGGAGCAAACGGG
rnacentral:rRNA from 1 species